UAGAUAUUAGUCAAAAGCAAUUAGAUGUAUUUUUUCCAGAUGAGGCUUUAAUGAUAGUAUUAAUCGAAGAAAAAUUGGAGUACUCAUUAAAGGUCGUCAGAUAUGAAAAGCGGGUUUAUGUUGAAAUUGUAUGCGUAAUGUUCAUUGCCAGCGCAACGAUUUUCCAAGCGUUAUCUCUUUCUGUCGCAUGCUAGAUUAGUGAAACAGAAUAUAAGUGUGACUAAGUCGUUUGUUGUGCGAAGGCGCAAGUGAUCGUCACAGUUUUCCCGCAGUUUGACAAGAGUGCAAGAAAAUAAUUUGUUGUGGAUUUUGUGUAAUACAAAGUCGAAGGAGAAACGUUCCGCUAUGGGGUUGUGUUUUUCGCUCGACUGUGGCGAUGAUUGCUGCAGCGUAAACCCCUGUUGUUUGGCGUUAACGGCUUGUUGUUGCAUCCCUUGUCUAUGCCCGAACGCAUGUGGACAGGAGCAGCAACAACAACCACCCCAGACGGUGGUUAUCCAACAGCCACCUGUGUAUAUUGAACAGCAACCAGGGUAUCCGCCGCCUGGAGGCUACCCUGGCUACCCGCAGCCGCCGCCACAGGGAUACCCGGGCUACCCCUCAUACAGAUGAACGGAUUCUCAAAUAGUUAAGGAUGGGCUGUAACAUAUCCUGUCGUCCGUGUUGCUGCUGUUGUAUACCAUGUCUUUGCUGUGACUGCUGCACCGACCCACCACGUACCAGAGUGGUACAUACUACCACUGUUGUUACUGUACCCGUUCAACAUACACCACGCCAUGAGCCACCUCCCCCCUAUAGAUAAUCUGGAAAUCUAAAAACGCAAUAAAACAAAUAUAUAUGUAUAUUAAACCAUAUUUUAAACUUUAGGGGCGCAUGGCCUAAAGUGUUCUGAAGUAUGCCGUAUUGAAAAAAAAUACAGAUAUCCAAUUUUCAGACCCUUUGGAAAUGUUUAAAUUAUUAUAGGGCUUCUUGUACGCAUAUGUUUAAUAAGAACAAAAUAACCUUGAAGCUUUGUCUUGAUCUAGUAUUAUUAAUUAUGCAAUCCGAAUUAUAAAGGUAACGUUAUUUACUUAAUAUUUAAUUUAGAAUAGGUAGACUAUGACUAACAUUAUCAUUAUUUAGAGCCUGUUGCAAUUGAGUUUUUCGGGCAUUACUAUAGUUAUUUUUUUUAGGAAAAAAAUAUCUCCGAUAUUUAAUAUUUAAUCAGAGUUACUCUUAAUAUUGAUAAAAAGUGACUCUGAUUCAACUAUCAGCCUAAUUUUUUUGGACCUGUUUCAAUUUUUUUUUGUUGAGAAAACCCAAGUUUUAGCACUCUUUGUAUAUCAGGCUCUUAAUAACACAGAAAAAUGCACGCCAGCAGCGACAUGAAACACAACGGCUAUGUACUUUAAUAUAUGUUACAUUUAUAUAUAAUUUAAAAAUCUUAAUUGCACUUCCCUAUUGUUGUUUUUUAAAUAUCUUAUUUUUACACGUUACAAUUUUGUUACAGUAGUGUUUAUGAUUUAUUGUAAAUAAAUGUAUUUGGUUAUAAGUAUUUUAUGAAUCCUGCUACGUUGUUAUCAUCAUUGUCGUGAUAAAGAUUAAAGAUUUAUGGUAUUUCGGCUUAAGUUUAUUCUGAACAAUAACAUAAAUAAGAAAAACUCUUAAAAGUAGAAAUAUAUCAUGCUGCCAUUGUACGGUAUAUUCGGUAGUAUUUCCUAUAGCUUUUGUAAAGUCAAAUCAUGUGAAAUAACACGUUUAUAAAAGAAACUUGCGCAGAGAAUGCAUUACUUUAGAAUAUAAUGCAACAACAGAUUACUUAAGGUGAUGAAGAAUUCUGAUUUACUCAGACUUUUUACAGGAACAAUUCCGUCAUACAUCAUGUCGGAGUAUUAACAACGCUAACCAACAACGCAUAACGCUUGCACUUAAUUCCGAGCAUCUUGAACCCUUGGAGAUAAACCAAUUUGCGAAAUGAUUCUCAGUUUCACGUUCUACUUUGAUUUAAGGUCAUUUUAUUUGAGGAAUUUCUAACUAAUGUUGUAACUAUAGUACCAUUUACCACCAUAGGCGACGUUUUUCACAUUUAGCUAUAAGUAAAUAAAUACUAACAAUACUAUUAACAAAAAUUUAAAUGUAAAUUAAGGAUAUUGAAAUAAAAUGGCUUUAUUAUUAUUUUUUAAAUCUAAAUUACCAAUAAGCAUCGAAUUCCGAAAAAUAUUAAUUCGUUACUUCGUAUGUAAGAUAAGUGUUAUCGAGAGAUAACUUAUGUAUUUCAGUCGAUAUCAAUUUUUUUGUUAUUCAGUACACUGUGACUUCAAAAUGGGCUUGUGCAUUACAAUUGAUUGCGGAAAUCCUUGCGAUGGUUGUUGCAAUGGUGGUGACGCCUGUAACCCUUGCUGUCUGGCUUUGACAGGCCUUUGUUGCAUACCUUGUUGCUGCCCAAACGCCUGUGGACAAAAUAACCAGGAUCAACCACCACAGACAAUUAUUAUAAAUCAACCGCCAGUUAUAAUAGAUAAUCAGCUUCCAGAAUACGCGUAUCCACCGUACGGACAGCCAGGUUAUGACCAACCUGCAUACAGAUAAAUUAUAAAUAUUGGAAUAUGGAUCACGGCUGAAGAUGGGCUGUUCUGUGUCAAUACGUCUUUGUCGCUGCUCCAUGCCAUUCCAUAUCUAUGCUGCAAAUGUCAAUAUAAAACUAGUCCGAAUGUCGUUUUAUUAUACAACCAUUAAGGCUCCUGAGUGCUCAGCCCCUGAAGUUCCUUCUGAGAACUAUGACCCACCAUACGUUGAUGCCUAACGUUUACUCUUACAAUAAGGGAAUAAAUGUUUUCUUUAAAUUAAUACAUACACUCUUGAAUUAAAGAAUCAUUUUUUUAAUAUCACUUAAAUGCAUUAUUAACCUUACAUACAAACAUUGUAUGGCUUUCGUUGAUUUAUUUUAUCUGUAAAAUAUUAUACAAUGAAUACUUAUUCGGUUUUCAGCACGAAGCCAUUGUUUUUCUUUAUUUAUGAUAAUUGGCCAUUUAAUACAAGUAAUCGAUAACUGUCAUAAAUAAUUAUUUGAUUUAAAUCUAUAAGAGUCGUCUCGAGGGUCAUAGAGACCUAUUGGUUGUAUUUCUAUAAAUUAAAGUGAAGGUAAUAUAUGUAACUAAAGGGUGUAUUAACGUGUAAAAUUUACUUGUUCACAUAUUUAUGUGAUGGUUGUAAAUAAAGCUUAUUUUUAAUUGUAACACAUUAAAAUAAAGGCAGAGGUUUAAUAAAAAAUGUCAUAUUGAUUAUAUAAAUUAUUUAAUUGCCCUACCCGAAUUUUGAUUUUCAGAAAUCACAAAAUGACUUCGUAUAUCUUAUCAUAUAGGUACUCACUGAUUGAUCGUUUAGUAUCUUAUCACGAAUAUUCCUGGAAUUGAAGCAUUUAUUCAUACAAUAUAAAAGCUAUAUUCAAAGAAUCGCGAAUUUAUUUUAAAUCUUUACUCGAACAAUUAAAUUUUCAGUAUGGGCUUACUAUGUAGCAGUUGUUGUUGUGACAGCGACCCACCUGCAGGAGAUGGAGUUUAUGUUGCCGACAAUAAUCCUGGAUACAAUCCUGGGUACCCACAAGACACAGUUGUUAUACAAGAUGAGCCCGGGAACUACGGAAGAUAACUACAAUCUAUAUGAAGAUUGUUUUAAGUGUUCGAUUUAAAAUAGCCUAUUUACAUUGUAAUAAUGAACGCUUGCUUCAUUCACUGUUUAUAUAAUAAUUAAUUAUAGCUUUUAAAUUUGAGUCUUUAUUUAUUGUCUAUUUUAGGAAACUCAUACGUUCUUAUACUGUUACUUAUUAUAUUGAUGUGCCAACCAAUUAGAAAUGUUACAAAAGGUCUUAACUAAGGAUAAGACUUUAUUAAAUUAUGAUAACGGGUUGUGUUUUUGGAACUUUAUCAAUCUACGUAUGCAGCAGUUUGGAGAUUAAAUAUUUUAAACGG